AGAGCACCGAGCCCCCGCUGAAAUGGGCGGUUUCCAGGGAAAAAUCGCGUCAGGGAUCCCUUCCCUCAGGGGAGGUGAAAUCCAAGUGUGCGCGGUGCGGGGCACCUCGGUACGCCGGGUGCUGCGCGGCUCCUCAGACCUUCCGCAAAAGGGCGAGCAAACCUUUACAAACCGUGACGGGGUCUCGGACAAAGCUCCUGUCUCUGCCCAGUGAGGCCCAUUUUCGGUUGAGUCUGAAGCAAAAAUCAGCCAAUUCUACAAAGAUUGGGCUCCAGAGCACCCUACAGCACAAGGAGCAGGGAAGGGCUCCAGCAGCAGGUGACGGAGUUGUGCACCCGUACGCUCUAAAAGCAAAGGCAGACACUUAGAUCUGAUGCGGUCUAACACUGGAAGGAAUCAAAGGAGCUAAAGAUAAGGCUGUGGAAAAGAAGAGGAGAUAGGAAGCUGCUGGUGUCAGAGACUUUAUCUUGGGGAGUGAGAGGGCAGGACGGGCAGCUCAGACAUCGAGGAGUGGGUUAAGGUGCAGCUUUAGGUGGUGGCCUCUAAGGAGCCUCCACCUAAAUGUUAGAAACACUCCUUUGCCAUCGUUCUUGCAGGAGACGCUUUUCAUUCUGCCCUUCUUUUCUGUCACUUGGUGUGAGUGCAUUAGGCAGCACCUCGGUGCCCAGGCAGGGCUGGAGCAGCCAUUUCGCUUCCUGCCGAUGGGCUCCAUAAAUGCUGCCUCGGUUGGAUCCUCACUUGGAGAGGUGAGAAGAGAUGUGUGGGAUGGGCAGGUGUUACUGCGCAGUAACAGUUAAUUGACUUUUAAAUGCGUUUCAUUGUGAAAGUCACUCUCCGAGUGAAAUGUUGGCCCAUGCCAAAAUACAGACUGCUUGGGCAUUCGGCACAAUUCAAAGGCUCUGUCCUGUGGCCUCCCAGAACUCCUGUGGUGCAUCUUCCACACAAUAAAGCCUCAAAGAAACACAUAUCAGGACAGCUAUCGCAGGUCCCGUUUGGAUCUGCCCUCUUCUGUACUGGCCCCUCUGCUUCCUAUCUCUCGCCCGCUCUUCGAGUUGUCUGUGCCGUGGAAAAGGAAUUACUGCUUGGGUAAUGCAAGGUACCGGGGCUGUGCAAAAGGCCCACUGGGAAGCUGGGAGCCAUAAUGUACUGCAAUUUCACUGCAUGCUAUUUUAUCAUUUUUAUUAAUCACGACUGCUUGAUGAGACCUCAAAGAGUUGUUAAUUAUUACAGCCAUAGCGACACUUUAUUUAGGGAAAUUUAUAUUCAGCACCUGUCUCCCGCUUACCUCUGCAGAAACGUACUCCAACUACUCCCUUACAGGUUUUAUUAUACGUUCUGAUGACAACAUCACAGAAAAUGGAAAAUACUUAAAAUAGACACAGCAAGCUGAAAUGUUACCAUCUACCAGCUAAGAUGAAAGAAAAGUGUUUUUUCUGCUCUUGGCAAAAAGGAGGAAGGUAUUUCUGAAGUGAUUUUUCCAAGCAAAGUAACAAAACAUGAUUUUCUAAAAAAGACCGUUGAAUUAAAAAGUCUAUUAAAUUAAAUCGCCCAUAUUUCUUUUAUUAAUUUCUCAAUAGUAAGAGAGCUAUUUUGAAGAUGACAUCCCUAAUUCUGGUAUUGCUUAUGAUGCUUAUCUGAGUCUUUGAGAGUCUCAUGAGGUUUAUGCAUGUUCUGAAAAUGUAAUGAGCCAAAAUAUUUAUUUAGGAUGAUGGUACACCAUAAAAGUUCCCCGGUUCAGGAAAUUUCAAAAUUUAAUAGAAAUAACUGGUGUGCUUUUAAAAACAAAUAGAUCUAAGUCCAGGAGAUUAAAAUUCUUCCAGGAAUGUUUCUUCAGAUGUGUUUGUACAGCUCCCUUCACGACCGUUUGAGAAGUACACUGGUAAUUCCCAUCUCCUCUGAAGCACGAUUCUCUCUGUCAGGAUGUAAUCUGAUAAAUAGCAAGGAGCAGCAGAGGCAGAAACCGAAGCUUAUCAGACAGAAGGAAAUAAGCACAGGUGGAGAACUGGAUAGACGCGUUCAUUUGAACACGGUGUUUACCUGUCACUGUGCAGGCUGACCGCCUGCUUGCUGGCCAGCUCUCCUCCUCGCAACACCCCUUCAGCUUCUCAGAGCUGAAGUUCUCCAGGAGUGAGCUGUUCCCUGUCUGUUCUCCCUACGAAAAGCGUGCCAUAACCAUUGCUCUCAAUAGUGCACUUUAAAAGGCAUUUUAUCUUCAUGAAAGAAGAUUUAUUACAUUAAGAGCAAUACAUGAAUUGGGUAUUAUUGAAACGACUACGUUUUCUUGACUCAUAAUAGUAAAUUUCCUACUCUAUUGGCAGGAAAGUGCCGUGUUUUCUAUUCCCAGGCUGCUCACGUAAAAUCCAUGGUAUUAUUUUUGUUUUCACUAACAGCUAUGAAGUGUUUAAUUAUCCUUCUCAAGGUAGACUAAAACCUCAAACAAAAUGGAUAAAUUUGAUAUUAUGCCUCUAAGAGGAAAAUCUACGGUUCUUGUGCAGCCAACAAAAUAGUAUGUAUAUAAUAGCAGUAAUUGUUGUCUCCCCCAUUCUUUUGUUCAUUUGCUGUAGUGUGUGUUUGUACAAGGCCAUUUUGUCAGGUUACAUCUUUUAUUCCCGUCUCUUUUGCCUAAAGGGAAAUUUAACAGCUGAGUUUUGUUGUGGGUUACUUGACAUAUUAUGAAGCAGCAGUACUGAGUGAGCAGCAGCCCUCCUGCUGUAUGGGGGGAAGCAGGAGCGCGAGGAAGUGCUCCCCGAUGCCUCGGCUGUGAGGCAGGAUGCCCAGCCGAUGGGCCAUCCAGGAGACAUUUGGGCAUUUAGGAUAAAGAUGUUGUAGGUAACGGCAAAGAUCUCACUCUUUUCUUAAACUGCAGACAAGGAUGGGAGCUUUUGAGUGUUGGCAAGUAAGAUACCUUUAAAGAGACAAAUGUAGUAGAAUCUGGCAAUGAAAGAUAUUACAGUGAUCAGCUGCAAAAUCCCUCUCGUGCAAAAGGUCAGGAAGCACACGUGCUCCAAAUGCUCCACAGCCUCUUCGUAACAAUGGAGAGAAAUAAAUCCAGAAUUCAGUUGCAAAUACUUGGCCAGUAACUUGAGAACGCGCCAGGUUUCCUUCUCUUAUUUUGCUUUUAGUAUUGCUGGAGAAGAUGCUCUCGAUUUGUCUGAACUCCUGAAAUGGAGGAACGUGUGGUCAGUCAGAAACGUCAGCUCAGCGCUCUCACUAGGAAAUAAGAAAUCUGUUCCUCGUUUCCCAUCCCAGACUCCCAGGCCUGCCAGUAACUUGAGCCAGAAGGCAAACUGCGACGCCGAGUACGUCCUCUGACUUCGCCCCUGCUCCGCAGGAGGAAUGUCCCGCUAUGGCAUACGCCAGCGUGCAGCUGAUUUAUUGUGGGUGGAAACUCCCCGCUCCAGCACGCUGGUGGAAGGGGGUGGGGUAGCCCCGGAGGUCUGCUGCUGCUCCUGCUUCUCUUUUGGAAGUCGAGGAGGGCUGCGGUUCCGUGUUUUCGUGUGCCGUUGCGUGGGACAGCUUGCAGUCAGUUGCACGGGCAGGAAAACACCGCGUAGAGCGCCUUGUUUGGAGUUCGUCUACUUGUUGCAAAAACGCUCAGCACCUCCAGAGCCACCCUCCGAGAGCACCUCCAUUUUGAGGACCUGUGGAGCACCUGCACCGGGGCCAGUUUGGAUCGGCAGCGCACUUUCGGAGCGGAUCUCCCAGCGUUACGUGCCGUGCUUUGGCGUGCUGGCGUCAUGGAGCAGCCUCGCUCGCGUCUGGUGAUGUCUGGAUGACACCAAGCUGGCCCCAGGCACGCGCACCUCGCCCUCCGGAGCUGUGAAAUGCCGUGGGGCCCUCUGCAGCAGCUCUUCCACCGUCCUACAGGUGUGUUCCCCUCGCACCACGCUGCCUGCCAAGGUAGGCAUAACCAGAAUCGCUGUGGGCAGGUGUGCCAAGCCUUAGCCAUGACAAAUGCUGAACAGCCCUGUCAAAUAUUUUUGGCAGACUGCAUCUCGUACAUGAAAAAAAAAACAAAAAAGCAGCCUGUGCUGCUGCGUGCACAGGCUGUGACACGACUGUGUGCAGCAGCAGGGCCAGGGCUCGGCAGCAGCAGCCUGAUGGGGAUUCCCACUGCUUCUGCCCCUGAAACCUCCUGUCCCUCAGCUGACCUCCGUCCAGGGAGGGGCUGGUCAGUCGCAACGCCCUGUUUAGAGUUUUGUCUCUCAUUUUCCUCAUACUCAGGACUGGCUGUCCAUCCCACCAGCUCCAAAUGGCCACGCGAGCCCUAACUCCGGCCAGCCCUGGCUGUUUUCUUCAAGUGCACUUAGUUAUUCUGAAGUACUUCAGGGAAAUACAUGGAAGGACAUACCACAGCUACCCAGACUUCAGCCAGAGUAACAGGAAUAUGCACUCUCUGAAUGGUGUUUUAGGCCAGUUUAUCCAAAUGGACAUUCACAGGACGUAGCUUGCCCUGAAAGGCAAAAAAAACAAUCCCGAAUCUGUCAACAGCCUCGCCUGGUGGCUGUCCCUGACUCAGGAAUGGACUGCACAGAACAUGUUUUUGUACUCUGAACACUAAAUCCUCCCUUCACUGCGCCUGUCCAGUGAGAAACCUGCAGUUCCUGCUUGCUGUGAGUUCAGAGCAAGCUGAAAGAAGAGGAAGUGGAGCUUCAAAUCACUGCACGAUGCCUGCCGUGCUAGUGGCUUACGUUGUUACAGACUUGGAGAUAGCCCGUACAUUCACAGCUGCAGAGGGCUUGCGUUUCCUAGGAUCAAGUCUCUUUUGGCCAAAGGGUCCAUUCACACCCUCCCCCUUCCCUCCUGAACGCCCUCCGUGUGUUCAGACCAUGUAAAAAUGGCUCCUGGAAAGGCUUGUUAAAAACAAGCGCUAAAGGUGGUGCGGCUCUGAAAACCUUCGCCGUGCUCACUUGGUCACAGCCCGCCCAGUUGCUGGGUCUCCCCAGGAACUGUUUAUAAACACUUGCGCUGCAUGGCUGUCUCCUCAGGCUGUGUGUGGAAGCAGUUUUAAAGGAGGGCUUGCACACUUCUGCGUGUGCAGCGGGGACCAUCUGGCAAUGGUUAGUUUGUUAUUAUUCACUUUGUCGAUUUAUUCUAACCCUUACCGAUGCUUCAGCGCGAGACAGAUCCUGAGACAAGCUUGUGAGUUCCUGUCUGGGAACUUCCCCAGCCUCCUCCACAAUAAACACAGAUGCCAAAAGCUCGUUUGGGGUUUCUGCUCCAAUUUUGUCUUUUCUACAUAUUCCUUGUGUACCUUGAUAGCCGAUUGGUUCUAGACAAUGUUUCUCAGACUUUCUGCUCCUGAUGAGACUGUAAAGCUUUUGAAGUCUUUUUGCAGGUUGUGUGUUAAACUCAGGUUUUUACAUACCUGUUUUUACAUUUCCCUCACGAUCUUUUCUAUUUUCCUCAUUAGAACAGAAAUCCAACUUUCUGAGGGAUGCCUUUUUGCUCCCAAUGACCUCUCAGGUCCUGCCUUUUAGCCAUGCUUCAUUUUUUACCCAUUUUUUCAGCCAUGUUUGAUCCUUCUGUGUGCUUUGUUGGCAAACGAUAUGCAUUUGGUCAGAGCUUCCAAUGCGAAGUCUUUCAGUGGUCCCCACGUUGCAUGAAAAUCUUUUACUCUUUUAGCUACCUCUUCGAGCUUUUUUUCCAGGAAGCCUUCUCACUUUUACCAUGCCCUCCUUUCUGAAAUGAAGAACAGUGACUUCUUCGGCUUUUGUUACUCUGAUCAGAGUGGUGACUGGAGUAUGCAAUGGUCACUGUUUCAGAGAAUGAUUACUUAGGUCCUGUAUGUAUUCUGUCCUCGUCCAGAUCCAGAGUUGCUUCUCCUUUUGUGGUUUUCCGGAGCAGAUGCUCUAGAAGAAGUCAUUAACAGUGUCUGACCAUUCACACCUAGACAUAACAGCAACGUGGUCUACAUACAGCCACGGGAAAUUUCCCGUUGCAGUUGUGUUUCCCACCCUUGCUGCCUCCCUGGUCUUUAUCACAGCUGCUAAGUUUGGUGAUGGAGUUGAUCCCGUGCUGUAAUGGUAGCAGACAUUUCCACUUAUUUAUCUGUUGAGAAGUCACCAAACUUGUUAAUAAUUUUGCUUGUAUUAGCUGAGGAAAUAGAUUUUGAGGUUUAUAAUUCCACGUGACUCUUGCCACUCUUCAAAGCUGCCUUCGUCUUCCCGCGUGCACCCUCGUAUUUUUGGAGAGAAUCGUUACUGUAAUGGCAAUCAAGUGUCACAUGCCUCAGACCUGUCCAGCAGUGUACACCAGUGGGAAUUGCAGAGAAAAAGGCAAAUAAAAGACAGUGUUGGCAACCGA